CCCUUAGAUGUUCUGGGCCGCACGCGCGCUACACUGAUUCAUGCAACAAGUUUUGUCCUUGGCUGAUAGGCCUGGGUAAUCUUUGAACGUGAAUCGUGAUGGGGAUAGAUGAUUGCAAUUAUUCAUCUUCAACGAGGAAUUCCUAGUAAACGCAAGUCAUCAGCUUGCAUUGAUUACGUCCCUGCCCUUUGUACACACCGCCCGUCGCACCUACCGAUCGAAGGUAAUGAUGAGCCCUCAGGAUUGUGGCCUCGUCGCGUCAGCGUCUUGGCUGCGAGAAUCUGUGCAAAUCCCUACCUUUAGAGGAAGGUGAANUCGUAACA
rnacentral:rRNA from 1 species